CCUCUCUUUUCUCGGUCUUCAACCUUGACACCAAAAACAGUCCCAUAAACACUAUCACCUUUGCUCCACUGGUUUCACUUACUCUGGAACUCGAACCGGACGUAUAAUUCCACUCGCUAGCUCAUAAAACGCUACGUUUCAUAGCUCGAUCACCUCCCUCUCAAUGUCAAUUUCAGUCUAGGGCAUAACAAAAAAACCUUCACAGUUCCACAAUGACGCUUCACUCUAUCAUAAUUCAAAAGCUCCUGAGCACAAACGCCAACCUGGGUCGGCGUGUAGCGGCCCGCCAUUUCAAACAGUUCACUUAGGGCAUGCGUAAUGGCAUGGCUGUAAUCGAUUGGACAAAACCCUAAUUUGUCUCCGAAACGCCUGCCACUUCAUCUCUCUGUUGGCGCAACGCCAAGCAACGUUUAUGUUAGUCAAUACGAACCCUUUGUUCGACGAAAUCAUACUCCAAAUAACCAAGAAGAUCGGGUGUUAUAACCCCAACAUGAACGCACUGUGGCGAAUGGGGGAUUUUUGACAACAAUUCUGGAUUUAUAUAUUUUUUUUCAGGUGGGUGAAUCUGCAAGCCAUCAAAAGGCUUGUGGAUACUGAUGAAUUAAAGAUGGAGAGUCUUUCUAUUUCAAAGUUACCAUUCUCUUAUUACCCCCUGAGGGACGCGAAUUCAUUAAACAAGGAAUUGACAAAUCGCUGCUGUUCCAGGAGGCAUAUUAUGAUCAACUUAAUUUGCAAGACACAGCAGCUUGUUCAGCGAUUCGGUUCUGUGAUCACACUAUUGGUGUCAGUGUCCCUCCAUCUCGAUAACUUCCAAUGAAUUCAAGAUCAGACUUACUUCUUCUCCAGUCAGAUUUGUACUCCUCUGUGGAUGGGGUCUUAGUUAGAAAUAAUGCGAGAAAUAAUCCUUUAAAUCCUUCUAUCAAAUUAGGACCUGAAUUUGAAAAGGUCAGUGACUUCCUAAGUCGAUUUAAGUCCAUUCCUAGCAUCAAUGGCUUGAUAGCUUGAAAGUGGCCUGCGAUGUCUGGUUUGGGGCUGGUAUAAUGCUCAAGGUAUUAAUUUCAUACCUUCUGCAGCCGUGUCUUUUUACAUAUGAGGUCUUCAGAUCAAUCCCACUCGGACGGAGGCUGGGGCUUUUCCGGUUUCAGACAAUGGAGACUAGUACUCUCAUUGUAAUUUUGUCUCUACCACCGUUUUAUCGUUUUUUUUCCUUUCUUACUUUUCAUGGAAGAGUAAAUAUCUUCGCUAAAUCCGGGACGAAACUAGAAGUUCCUGAUGGUGCAAUGCUGGAAAACAAGGUAAAUAACUGAAGUAGCAAGGCUAUGGGAUGGGAGGGUGUGGCGGAAUCGGUUCAUAUUCCAGUUUCUCAGGGGAUCAACGACGACGCAGACAUUUGAGAAGGAUCUCUUUCAAAGCCUUUAUGUUACAAUUUUGACUUCAUAUCACCAUUGGCUUUGUAGCUUUCUUGAAUGUAUAAAUUUAUGUUGAGGACUCAUAAAGAAGAGUU